CACUGAUGUAACUUUUUUUGCACAUUAAAACCACUUACUCUUUUUAAGACAAGGAGUGCACCCAUUUUUAAAAUUUAUAUAUAACGUGUGUGUGUUCUCACCUACAUAUUUACCAGAGUGCUCCAACCUCCUCCUUCCGUCUGUUUGAGUGCAUGUCCCACAAUUCUGUGGUUUUGGCUGAUAGAGCAUUCUGGUAAAUGUGGUGCGACAAUAUUUGGCAAUGUAAGGAUAACACCCCACUCUAGUAUUUUCCAAAGUUAGAUUUGCUCCCAUACGUGUACAGUUAUUACCCCUUUAGAGUAGAUCAGUAGGUAUGUAUAAAUAUGUAUCUGGACAUGGUAAGGGAGCUAAAUAAUAUGCUGUCCAAUAUUAGGAGCUAAAAUUAUAUUAUACAGGAUGAUAAGAAUGUCACAGAAGAUUGCAUAAUGAAGUAUUUCUUAGAAGCGCUCAUAUGCACUGAUAACAUAGUUCAGGGUUAACAAGGUAUCACUGUUCAGCUACCAUAGGGAUAGCAAGUUUGAGAAUAACCCAUUUAGUUUGAGAAUCGUGAUAGUUGUAGUUUAAAGGGACACUAUAGUCACCAGAACAACUAGAGCUUAUUGCAUUUGUUCUGGUGAGAAGAAUCAUU